rnacentral:sRNA from 1 species
AGUGCAAUGUCUGUGAGAAUAGAUGUUAUUGGAGAUAACAUUAGAAAGAGAUCAUCUUCCGUUACAGAAACAUCUAAGCCGAUGAGUUUUAUGGAUACAGGAAACCUUCGCGCGGAAAAUAAAAUUUGUAAUAUGAAUCAGACAGCAAAUUAUAAUCUUGGACGAGGUAGAUGUGACAGUUUUCCAACCAGAACUAGAGAGUCCAAUGAUGACGCGAAUCAAAGUUUUAAAUCAUCACAUAUACAUAAUGUUCCUUGUACAGCGACGCCUCGUAUUUUAGCACUUUCCCGGUACAGUACAAGUCCACCAAUAGUUUCUUCUUUUGGAAGUACAGAAAGGAAAGAAUCGGUGAAGCUCGAUGAUCAAGAAGAAACGGGAAACUAUUUGCCAUUUCGUUACAAGU